CCGGCCGCUCCUGAGGGCGCCGCGGGAAGGGGCUGCUGCCGGGCGGUGCAGGCGGGAGGGAGCGGCGCCGGCAGCUGGGCCCGGCCCGGCCCUUGGCAGCCAGCUAAGGCGCCUCCUGAGCCAGCUGCUGUCCUGAGGCACUCCCUGUCCUCUGGACUGCAGCUCAGCUACAGCACAGCACAGUUCCAGAUCUAGGUAGUUGGCUAUUCCCUAGAAGAUUUUGUAACUCCUACCGACUUGGCAUGAAGUCUCAAGGCAGCCUGAGGCGUCAAAAAAACAGGUACAACAAGGAAAAGCAACCACCUCCAAAGGGAUGUGGUAAAGUAGGUCACCAUUAAACGCCUUUUUGAAGAGAUCUCCAACUGAUGUACCCUGGCCUACUGAAAUGGAUAAAACAUUGAUUUGCUCCAGAGAGGGGUUUCACCUGCUGAAUUCAGCCUGUGUUAGUAACUGUGACUAAUUGCUCGGCCCUUCACAGCCCUAUUUUAAGAUGGUAUUUUGCCAUGUGUGUUUGUAUUACCCAUGUUUAUUCAGAAAUGUAAAGAAUUCAUACAAAAGAAGAAAACAAAGGUAGUUAGUAACUGCAUGGCAACAAAACUUUUUGUUUUUCAAAACUGGCAUUGUAAUUAUGCCGUGCACAUGCUCAUCUGACUUUCAUGCUUCAAUAUCCAUAGGGCUGAAUCAGCAUGAAAAAAGAACAUUC